GCUAUUGUGAAAGCCCUUCCAAUUCACCAAAAGACAGAUUAUGUUUUAACACAUCUUGGAGAAUGAAACUUGCAUUGGAUGUUAAUUAUUCAGGUUCCUCGACCUUUUACACUUGAUGAUGAAUGAAGAUUAUGGAAUGAAGAACGUUUUUUUUUUCAAUUUGGACCUUGUAAUUCUUGUUUAAGAUCUUUGUUUGGAACUUGAUUAAUUAAGACCUUGUAAUGCUUGUGUUGAUUCGUGUUUAUGCGUUAGUGCGUUAUUAA